rnacentral:rRNA from 1 species
GAUGAACGCUGGCGGCGUGCCUAAUACAUGCAAGUCGAACGAGUUCUCGUUGAUGAUCGGUGCUUGCACCGAGAUUCAACAUGGAACGAGUGGCGGACGGGUGAGUAACACGUGAGUAACCUGCCCUUAAGUGGGGGAUAACAUUUGGAAACAGAUGCUAAUACCGCAUAGAUCCAAGAACCGCAUGGUUCUUGGCUGAAAGAUGGCGUAAGCUAUCGCUUUUGGAUGGACCCGCGGCGUAUUAGCUAGUUGGUGAGGUAAUGGCUCACCAAGGCGAUGAUACGUAGCCGAACUGAGAGGUUGAUCGGCCACAUUGGGACUGAGACACGGCCCAAACUCCUACGGGAGGCAGCAGUAGGGAAUCUUCCACAAUGGACGCAAGUCUGAUGGAGCAACGCCGCGUGAGUGAAGAAGGCUUUCGGGUCGUAAAACUCUGUUGUUGGAGAAGAAUGGUCGGCAGAGUAACUGUUGUCGGCGUGACGGUAUCCAACCAGAAAGCCACGGCUAACUACGUGCCAGCAGCCGCGGUAAUACGUAGGUGGCAAGCGUUAUCCGGAUUUAUUGGGCGUAAAGCGAGCGCAGGCGGUUUUUUAAGUCUGAUGUGAAAGCCCUCGGCUUAACCGAGGAAGCGCAUCGGGAACUGGGAAACUUGAGUGCAGAAGAGGACAGUGGAACUCCAUGUGUAGCGGUGAAAUGCGUAGAUAUAUGGAAGAACACCAGUGGCGAAGGCGGCUGUCUGGUCUGUAACUGACGCUGAGGCUCGAAAGCAUGGGUAGCGAACAGGAUUAGAUACCCUGGUAGUCCAUGCCGUAAACGAUGAAUGCUAGGUGUUGGAGGGUUUCCGCCCUUCAGUGCCGCAGCUAACGCAUUAAGCAUUCCGCCUGGGGAGUACGACCGCAAGGUUGAAACUCAAAGGAAUUGACGGGGGCCCGCACAAGCGGUGGAGCAUGUGGUUUAAUUCGAAGCAACGCGAAGAACCUUACCAGGUCUUGACAUCUUUUGAUCACCUGAGAGAUCAGGUUUCCCCUUCGGGGGCAAAAUGACAGGUGGUGCAUGGUUGUCGUCAGCUCGUGUCGUGAGAUGUUGGGUUAAGUCCCGCAACGAGCGCAACCCUUAUGACUAGUUGCCAGCAUUUAGUUGGGCACUCUAGUAAGACUGCCGGUGACAAACCGGAGGAAGGUGGGGAUGACGUCAAAUCAUCAUGCCCCUUAUGACCUGGGCUACACACGUGCUACAAUGGAUGGUACAACGAGUUGCGAGACCGCGAGGUCAAGCUAAUCUCUUAAAGCCAUUCUCAGUUCGGACUGUAGGCUGCAACUCGCCUACACGAAGUCGGAAUCGCUAGUAAUCGCGGAUCAGCACGCCGCGGUGAAUACGUUCCCGGGCCUUGUACACACCGCCCGUCACACCAUGAGAGUUUGUAACACCCGAAGCCGGUGGCGUAACCCUUUUAGGGAGCGAGCCGUCUAAGGUGGGACAAAUGAUUAGGGUGA